rnacentral:RNase_P_RNA from 1 species
GAGUCGGCCGGGUGACCGCGGUCUGGCGCCUCAGGGUGACCAGGCUGAGGAAGGUCGGGACUCCACAGGGCAAGGUGCUGGCUAACGGCCAGUCGGGGCGACCCGCAGGAAAGUGCCACAGAGAACAGACCGCCGAUGGCCCGGUUCGCCGGGCACAGGCAAGGGUGAAACGGUGCGGUAAGAGCGCACCAGCACCCGGGGUGACCCGGGUGGCUCGGCAAACCCCACCUGGAGCAAGGCCGAAUGUCGGGUACGGGCGGCCCGUCCGUCACUCCCCCGGGAGCGACAACCCGCUGGUAGGCCGCACAGAUGGAUGGUCACACAGGCGCCGGGAGGCGCUGGACAGAAUCCCGCCUACAGGCCGACUCGC